rnacentral:rRNA from 1 species
GAGUAACACGUGACUAACCUACCCUCGAGUGGGGAAUAACUCCGGGAAACCGGGGCUAAUACCGCAUAACAUCGCAAGAUCAAAGCAGCAAUGCGCUUGAGGAGGGGGUCGCGGCUGAUUAGCUAGUUGGCGGGGUAACGGCCCACCAAGGCGAAGAUCGGUAUCCGGCCUGAGAGGGCGCACGGACACACUGGAACUGAAACACGGUCCAGACUCCUACGGGAGGCAGCAGUGGGGAAUUUUGCGCAAUGGGGGAAACCCUGACGCAGCAACGCCGCGUGGAGGAUGAAGCCCUUUGGGGCGUAAACUCCUUUCGACUCGGACGAUAAUGACGGUACGAGUGGAAGAAGCACCGGCUAACUCUGUGCCAGCAGCCGCGGUAAUACAGAGGGUGCGAGCGUUGUUCGGAAUUAUUGGGCGUAAAGGGCGCGUAGGCGGUGCGGUAAGUCACCUGUGAAAUCUCCUGGCUUAACUGGGAGCCUGCAGGCGAAACUACCGUGCUGGAGUGUGGGAGAGGUGCGUGGAAUUCCCGGUGUAGCGGUGAAAUGC